ACCAAAGCUUUUGGGUUCCGGGGGAAGUAUGGUUGCAAAGCUGAAACUUAAAGGAAUUGACGGAAGGGCACUACCAGGAAUGGAGCCUGCGGCUUAAUUUGACUCAACACGGGGAAGCUUACCUGGAUMGGACACAGGAAGGAUUGACAGAUUAAGAGCUCUUUCUUGAUUCUGUGGAAGGUGGUGCAUGGCCAUUCUUAGUUGGUGGAGCGAUUUGUCUGGUUAAUUCCGAUAACGACCGAGACUCUAGCCUACUAAAUAGACGUUCCGAUCCUUGCUGUCGGACGCUCUUCUUAGAGGGACACGCGGCGUUUAGCCGCACGAGACAGAGCAAUAGUAGGUCUGUGAUGCCCUUAGAUGUCCAGGGCCGCACGCGCGCUACAAUGAAGGAAUCAGCGUGUGCUUUCCCUGUCCGACAGGACUGGGUAACCCGUUGAACCUCCUUCGUGCUUGGGAUAGGCGUUUGUAAUUAUCCGCCUUGAACGAGGAAUUCCCAGUAAGCGCGAGUCAUCAGCUSGUGUUGAUUACGUCCCUGCCCUUUGUGCACACCGCCCGUCGCAACAUCCRAUGGAAUGAUUUAKUGAGGUCCUCGRACUGGCGCUCGGAUUGACCUCCGGGUCGAGCCGGCGUGC
rnacentral:rRNA from 1 species